rnacentral:rRNA from 1 species
UCGAGCGAAUGUGAUUGAGAGCUUGCUCUCAUGAAGUUAGCGGCGGACGGGUGAGUAACACGUGGGUAACCUGCCCAUAAGACUGGGAUAACUCCGGGAAACCGGGGCUAAUACCGGAUAAUAUUUUGAACUGCAUGGUUCGAAAUUGAAAGGCGGCUUCGGCUGUCACUUAUGGAUGGACCCGCGUCGCAUUAGCUAGUUGGUGAGGUAACGGCUCACCAAGGCAACGAUGCGUAGCCGACCUGAGAGGGUGAUCGGCCACACUGGGACUGAGACACGGCCCAGACUCCUACGGGAGGCAGCAGUAGGGAAUCUUCCGCAAUGGACGAAAGUCUGACGGAACAACGCCGCGUGAGUGAUGAAGGCUUUCGGGUCGUAAAACUCUGUUGUUAGGGAAGAACAA